rnacentral:rRNA from 1 species
UGGGGAAUUUUGGACAAUGGGCGAAAGCCUGAUCCAGCAAUGCCGCGUGCAGGAUGAAGGCCUUCGGGUUGUAAACUGCUUUUGUACGGAACGAAAAGUCCCGGGAUAAUACCCUGGGACCAUGACGGUACCGUAAGAAUAAGCACCGGCUAACUACGUGCCAGCAGCCGCGGUAAUACGUAGGGUGCAAGCGUUAAUCGGAAUUACUGGGCGUAAAGCGUGCGCAGGCGGUUAUAUAAGACAGAUGUGAAAUCCCCGGGCUCAACCUGGGAACUGCAUUUGUGACUGUAUAGCUAGAGUACGGUAGAGGGGGAUGGAAUUCCGCGUGUAGCAGUGAAAUGCGUAGAUAUGCGGAGGAACACCGAUGGCGAAGGCAAUCCCCUGGACCUGUACUGACGCUCAUGCACGAAAGCGUGGGGAGCAAACAGG